rnacentral:rRNA from 1 species
AUUGAACGCUGGCGGCAGGCCUAACACAUGCCAGUCGAGCGAGCGGCGGACGGGUGCGUAAUGUCUGGGAAACUGCCUGAUGGCGGGGGAUAACUACUGGAAACGGUAGCUACUACCGCAUACCAUCAGAUGUGCCCAGAUGGGAUUAGCUAGUAGGUGGGGUAACGGCUCACCUAGGCGACGCUCCCUAGCUGGUCUGCGAGGCUGACCAGCCACGCGGGAACGGAGACACGGUCCAGACGCCUACGGGAGGCAGCAGUGGGGAAUAUUGCACAAUGGGCGCAAGCCUGAUGCAGCCAUGCCGCGUGUGUGAAGAAGGCCUUCGGGUUGUAAAGCACGUUCAGCGGGGAGGCGUUACCCGCAGAAGAAGCACCGGCUAACUCCGUGCCAGCAGCCGCGGUAAUUC